CGAUCAUACCAGCACUAAAGCACCGGAUCCCAUCAGAACUCCGCAGUUAAGCGUGCUUGGGCGAGAGUAGUACUAGGAUGGGUGACCUCCUGGGAAGUCCUCGUGUUGCAU
rnacentral:rRNA from 1 species